AACGAACGCUGGCGGCAGGCUUAACACAUGCAAGUCGAGCGCCCAGCAAUGGGAGCGGCGGACGGGUGAAUAACGCGUGGGAAUAUGCCCUUUGGUACGGAACAACUCAGGGAAACUUGAGCUAAUACCGUAUGAGCCGGUAACGGGAAAGAUUUAUCGCCAAAGGAUUAGCCCGCGUCCGAUUAGCUAGUUGGUGAGGUAACGGCCCACCAAGGCACCGAUCGGUAGCUGGUCUGAGAGGACGACCAGCCACACUGGGACUGAGACACG
rnacentral:rRNA from 1 species